UUGGUUUUCACUUCUCUCUCUCUUGUUGUCUGCAAAACCUAAAUCCCCAAUUCAUUCAUUUCCAGAUCUCCAUCUUCCCUCUCAAUCUUCUUCUAGCCCCUGAGAAUCCAACCCUUAAUUCAUCAACUGUGAUUUGCUGAAAGAAUUUUAAUGGGGAAGUGGAGAAAUCUCCCUGCAGAGAUGUUACUAGAGAUUUUAACUAGGUUACCGACUGAAUCAGUGUUAGAUUGUAAAUUGGUUUGCAAUCCCUGGAGAAGUCUUGUUUCUCAUCAUCCAUCCUUCUCUCAAUUGCAUCUAACGCAUCUUAAUCAUUCUGCUGCUGAAUCUGGUAAGUUAAGUUUUCUUGUUGAAUCUAAGAUGCACCAAGUUCACUAUUUAGAGUAUAAUGAUGAUGAGACACCUGUUCACUAUACUAGAAGGAUCAACAUAAAUCCCCCAUUUGAAUGUUCUUUUUAUAAGAUUCUGGGUUCAAUUAAUGGUUUAGUCUGUCUUUAUGGAUGGGGAGAUGAUGCUCAUUGUAUUUGUAACCCUGUGACUAGAGAAUAUGUCAUGCUUCCAAAAAUUAGGAGGGAUUGUGAUGAUCGGUAUCGGGCGGGAGGAUUUGGUUACCUUCCUUUAACUAAUGAGUAUAAAGUUGUUGAAUUGUAUCCUUUAAAGGAAAAACUUAAUGUCACGGAGGUUGCAGUUUAUACUCUUGGCAGUGGCAAUGGGUGGAGAAUUGUUGCGAGGUUGGAUUCAGUCAUACUAGAAAAAGUUGCAGGUGUGUUUACAAGUGGAGCUCUUUAUUGGAAAGAAGCAUUUAACCUGCAUUUGCUUACAGAAGAAGGAAAGCUUUUUGUUUUUGACUUGACUGAUGAAAAGUUUCGUAAACAUGUUUUACUACCUCCUUCACCAGAAGAGGCAAAUGUUUGGUAUAGUUACUUUGUUGGGGAUUUGAGUGGGGUUUUGUAUUAUGCUAGCAGAGAGCGCAGUGCAAUCACCGGAUGCAUAUGUUUUAACAUUUGGUUACUGAAAAAGAACGUUAUUCUUGACAUGAAAGAGCAGGUGGAAGAUGAUCCAUUGACUUGGAGUAAAGAGUUCAGUUCACUUGAAAGAAAACCUUUAACCAUCACCAAAAAUGGUGGUGUUUUAUCUUAUGAUGAUAAGUCUCUGGGUAUUUAUGACCCAAAAGCUUCAACCUCGAAAAAGGUUGUGGAUUUUACUGCAUUUAAGGCAAUAUACACUCACCAGAACACCUUGGUUUCGUUGAAAGAAUUGGGAGAAAAAGAUAUAGAAAUAAUGGAGCUAGCUGAGGAGACAGGAAGCCGUGAUUCAAAGAUAUAGCAGCUUGCAGGAUGAAAUCCCUGGAUACCCGGUUUAUCAACAGCUGAAAAUGGGAUUUCAAGUAGGCAUUCUUGGGAUUUCAACGCUCUCCCAUGCAUGAAAAUGCCUGGCAAACAUGGGAAUCUCAACGAGGACCAGGGAUUUGGAGCAGGCAGAAGCUGUAAUUUUUUCUCAAAUCCGUGGAGUGGUGCAUCCUUCAUAUCCAGUUAUCUCAUGUCAUUAUAAAAGUGGCUAUAGAAGCUAUGACCUCUAGUUUUGGCUCGGUUUUAAAGGAGUUGGAUAUUUAUAUGGAAUGUAAAACUUUUAUCUAUAGCUGUAUUUUGGGUUUUCAGUGGUCGUACGUCAGAAAGGCAAGCAAAUCCCGCUUCUGAUUUUGCAUGUAGUCUAUGGGUAUAAACUUAAUGGUCCA